ACAUGCAAGUCGAGCGGACAGAUGGGAGCUUGCUCCCUGAUGUUAGCGGCGGACGGGUGAAAAACACGUGGGGUAACCCGCCUCUAAGACUGGGAAAUACUCCGGAAAACGCGGGGCUAAUACCGGAUGGUUGUUUGAACCGCAUGGUUAAAACAUAAAAGGGUGGCUUCGGCCACCACUAAAAGAUGGACCCGCGGCGCAUUAGCUAGUUGGUGAGGUAACGGCUCACCAAGGCGAGCGAUGCGUACCCGACCUGAGAGGGUGAUCGGCCACACUGGGACUGAGACACGGCCCAGACUCCUACGGGAGGCAGCAGUAGGGAAUCUUCCGCAAUGGACGAAAGUCUGACGGAGCAACGCCGCGUGAGUGAUGAAGGUUUUCGGAUCGUAAAGCUCUGUUGUUAGGGAAGAACAAGUGCCGUUCAAAUAGGGCGGCACCUUGACGGUACCUAACCAGAAAGCCACGGCUAACUACGUGCCAGCAGCCGCGGUAAUACGUAGGUGGCAAGCGUUGUCCGGAAUUAUUGGGCGUAAAGGGCUCGCAGGCGGUUUCUUAAGUCUGAUGUGAAAGCCCCCGGCUCAACCGGGGAGGGUCAUUGGAAACUGGGGAACUUGAGUGCAGAAGAGGAGAGUGGAAUUCCACGUGUAGCGGUGAAAUGCGUAGAGAUGUGGAGGAACACCAGUGGCGAAGGCGACUCUCUGGUCUGUAACUGACGCUGAGGAGCGAAAGCGUGGGGAGCGAACAGGAUUAGAUACCCUGGUAGUCCACGCCGUAAACGAUGAGUGCUAAGUGUUAGGGGGUUUCCGCCCCUUAGUGCUGCAGCUAACGCAUUAAGCACUCCGCCUGGGGAGUACGGUCGCAAGACUGAAACUCAAAGGAAUUGACGGGGGCCCGCACAAGCGGUGGAGCAUGUGGUUUAAUUCGAAGCAACGCGAAGAACCUUACCAGGUCUUGACAUCCUCUGACAAUCCUAGAGAUAGGACGUCCCCUUCGGGGGCAGAGUGACAGGUGGUGCAUGGUUGUCGUCACCUCCUGUCAUGAGAUGUUGGGUUAAGUCCCGCAACGAGCGCAACCCUUGAUCUUAGUUGCCAGCAUUCAGUUGGGCACUCUAAGGUGACUGCCGGUGACAAACCGAAGAAAGGUGGGGAGGACGUCAAAUCAUCAUGCCCCUUAUAACCUGGGCUACACACGUGCUACAAUGGACAAAAAAAAAGGGCAGCAAAACCCCGAGGGUAAACCAACCCCACAAAUCUGUUCUCAGUUCGGAUCGCAGUCUGUCAACUCGACUGCGUAAAACUGGAAAAGCUAAAAAUAAAAGAAAAGCAAACCCCCGGGGGAGAAAAGUUCUCCGGGCCUUGUACAAACCGCCCGCCACACCACAAAAGUUUGUAACACCCGAAGUCGGUGAGGUAACCUUU
rnacentral:rRNA from 1 species